rnacentral:rRNA from 1 species
AUCGACCUCGGAUCAGGUAGGAAUACCCGCUGAACUUAAGCAUAUC